rnacentral:rRNA from 2 species
UGGGGAAUAUUGGGCAAUGGGCGAAAGCCUGACCCAGCAACGCCGCGUGAAGGAAGAAGGUUUUCGGAUCGUAAACUUCUGUCCUAUGAGACGAAGAAAGUGACGGUAUCAUAGGAGGAAGCCCCGGCUAACUACGUGCCAGCAGCCGCGGUAAUACGUAGGGGGCAAGCGUUGUCCGGAAUGAUUGGGCGUAAAGGGCGCGUAGGCGGCUUUUUAAGUCCGGAGUGAAAGUCCCGCUUUCAAGGUGGGAAUUGCUUUGGAAACUGGAGAGCUUGAGUGCAGGAGAGGUAAGUGGAAUUCCCGGUGUAGCGGUGAAAUGCGUAGAGAUCGGGAGGAACACCAGUGGCGAAGGCGACUUACUGGACUGUAACUGACGCUGAGGCGCGAAAGCGUGGGGAGCGAACAGG